rnacentral:lncRNA from 1 species
AGGAAGGUGUGGAGGGCUUCCUCACCUUUCUCCCUGCAGGUUCCAAGCUCAGGAGAUGCCCUAGGGGCGUGGGGUUACUAAUAGAAGGCUACAAACGCACAAAACCCCCUGCAGUUUCAUUCUGCACGAAAUCUGCCUCCUUGUACCGGUACACGGGCUCUUGUACCGGUACAAGGCCGACGAAAUUGCAAACCCGAGGCUCGGGUCGCGCGGUCUGCGGCUCUGUACCGGUACAAGCCCGAUGGCUGUACCGGUACAACCAUCAACCCUUGUACCGGUACAAGGCCAGUCUUGUUCCGGUACAAGCCCUGCUGCAGGCUACCCGAGAGCUGUCCAAAAAUUCCGAUUUUGGAAUUUUGGUGCCAAGUCCCACUCCAACAUCCUCGGGAUGCGUGCCAGGGGUCGGGACACUAUCAACGACCCUCCAAAAACUGUGGGAAAGCUCCAAACACAGAUCAAACACUCGAAUCUUGCGAUUUGCUAAGAUCCAGUGUAUUACAC